UAUUUUUCUUUUUGGAGAAUGUUAGUCUUUAUCAUUCCUAAUUCUGUUGAACAGCAUGUUCCCUCUCGAAAAUGCAAUAUUACAGACAGCUUUUUCCCCUCAAUUAACCUACGGACUCUAAGAAUCGGUCCUGUCACUUCCAUCCUUCUGUAACAGAUUUCCCUCAGUGUUUUUUCCUGUUGUUCUUACACAUCUUCAUGUAAAAUCUCCUAACCACUCCAUUGUUGUAUCCAUGUCGUUCUGCUCCUCUCAUAAUCCAUUCUAAUUUCUUCCUGGAAUUAGGAUGGAUUAUGAGAGAUCAGUGAUAGAUCUUCGAUUGCACUGUCUUCCACCGUGAAAGCACAUGGAAGACAGUACAAUCGAAGAUCUAUUCACAGACUCUGCAUCAGGUAUUAAAUUAAAGCUUAAAAGAAAAAACAAUGUAGCUAUAAACUAUUUGGAUAUUAUGAUCAUGAAUAAGAGAGGAGAAUACCACACCAAAAUCUAUAGAAAACAUAUAUACACACUAUUUCUAAUACCCAACUGGUCACCAGACCUGUGGCCUUAUAAAAUUUCCUCAUUCAAAUCGCUCUUGAAAAGGCUAGAUACCCACUGCAGCACAUUCCAAAUCAAUAAUAGCUAAUCACAAAAUGUUUUUCAAAAUUAAUUACAGAUUAAAAAAAAAUAUAACAUUGAUUGAACGAAAAGCACUUAAUUACUGUAAACUGAAUGUUAUUUCUUCC
rnacentral:lncRNA from 1 species